CAAAUUAUGGCUCUAUUAGAGAGCUUCUCAUUUACACUGAGAGGGUUACUGUGCAAUUCAGUUUGAUUUGA
rnacentral:tRNA from 1 species